rnacentral:lncRNA from 1 species
GUGCAUGCCGGGUAGUUCAUUAAGGGGGUGUGGGGGAGGGCCAGGGCCUCGCUGAGCACGCCCCCACCCCCGCUCCAGCCUUAACACCACCUGGCACUUAGCGGCUCCCUCCCCACCCGCCCUGCCAGGCAUUUGGCAAUGAUCCAGAAUCCAGCCGCUCCCCAGCACCCCCACGGCAUCUACCCUGGUCUGAGCUGCCUCGUUUCUCGCCCGGAUCAUUGUAACAGCAUCCUAACUGGUCUCCCGCCCUCGCUCCCUUGACACACAGCCAGGGCGAUCCUCUUACAGUCUCUUUUCUUCCUGAGAGUUCAGAGGGCUGCACAUCCACGACCUCGUUCAUCCACGAGACCUCCCUCUGGGAUGGGGGGCAGGACCACCAUGCGCAGAUGUUCUGAAACUGCUCCGUCAUUGCCCUCCCCUCCACCGCCUUCCUUCUUCAGUCUCUAUUACGUCCCCUUUCUUCUCUCAAUUUAAUUCAGCAAAGGCUUAAGAGGCUCCUCCCUGGUACAAGGACUGGGCAUUCAGGAAGCUUCUAGAUUUCCCCAGGGCCAAAGUCAUUUCCUGUCUUCUAUGGUUUCAGAGCACUUUCUUCCUACCCGCGUUUAUACACACACAUACCGGAUUGUUUCUGUAUCUACAAUCCUGGAGGGUGGGGCUGGGUCUUACUUAAGCUUGCAUUCCCCCCCUAGUGCCUAGGCCAGGGCCUGGCAUUUGGGAGUCUGGAGAAACGCUUGCCCAGGGCAAAGGUACCCCUGACUGUGCCAGUUACCCGGAGGAAGAGCCCAGAGGGGUUCUGUAUACACAGCACCUGGCACAUAGGAGCUACUCAAUGUCUGCUAAAUGGAUCAAGAAAAAAACGAAGGAAGGAAGAUGAGGGCAGAUAGUGAUGGGCCAGCCUUGCCUUUAAAG